rnacentral:rRNA from 1 species
UUUAAUGGAGAGUUUGAUCCUGGCUCAGGACGAACGCUGGCGGCGUGCCUAAUACAUGCAAGUCGAGCGAGGGUCUUCGGACCCUAGCGGCGGACGGGUGAGUAACACGUAGGCAACCUGCCUGU